rnacentral:rRNA from 1 species
GAUGAACGCUGGCGGCGUGCCUAAUACAUGCAAGUCGAGCGAACAGACGAGGCGCUCGCUCCUCUGACGUUACCGGCGGACGGGUGAGUAACACGUGGAUAACCUACCUAUCAGACUGGGAUCACUUCGGGACACCGGAGCUCAUACCGGAUAAUCUAUUGAACCGCAUGGUUCAAUAGUGAAAGACGGUUUUGCUGUCACUUAUAGAUGGACCCGCGCCGCAUUAGCUAGUUGGUAAGGUAACGGCUUACCAAGGCGACGAUGCGUAGCCGACCUGAGAGGGUGAUCGGCCACACUGGAACUGAGACACGGUCCAGACUCCUACGGGAGGCAGCAGUAGGGAAUCUUCCGCAAUGGGCGAAAGCCUGACGGAGCAACGCCGCGUGAGUGAUGAAGGUCUUCGGAUCGUAAAACUCUGUUAGUAGGGAAGAACGAAUGUGUAAGUAACUAUGCACGUCUUGACGGUACCUAAUCAGAAAGCCACGGCUAACUACGUG